rnacentral:rRNA from 1 species
UACAGAGGGGGCAAGGCGUUGUUCGGAAUUACUGGGCGUAAAGGGCGCGAGUAGGCGGCCUGUUAAGUCGAACGUGAAAUCCCCGGGCUCAACCCGGGAACUGCGUCCGAUACUGGCAGGCUUGAAUUCGGGAGAGGGAUGUGGAAUUCCAGGUGUAGCGGUGAAAUGCGUAGAUAUCUGGAGGAACACCGAUGGCGAAGGCAUCCC